GGUUUGAUUCUGGCUCAGAUUGAACGCUGGCGAUGCUUACACAUGCAAGUCGAACGGCAGCACGGACUUCGGUCUGGUGGCGAGUGGCGAACGGGUGAGUAAUGUAUCGGAACGUGCCUAGUAGCGGGGGAUACGCGAAAGCGUAGCUGACACGCAUACGCCCUUCGGGGAAAGCGGGGACCUUCGGGCCUCGCACUAUUAGAGCGGCCGAUAUCGGAUUAGCUAGUUGGUGGGGCAACGGCUCACCAAGGCGACGAUCCGUAGCUGGUUUGAGAGGACGACCAGCCACACUGGGACCGAGACACGGCCCAGACUCCCUACGGGAGGCAGCAGUGGGGAAUUUUGGACGGGGAAACCCUAUCCAGCCAUCUCGCGUGUGCGAUGAAGGCCUUCGGGUUGUAAAGCACUUUUGGCAGGAAGAAACGGCACGGGAUAAUACCCCGUGCAACUGACGGUACCUGCAGAAUAAGCACCGGCUAACUACGUGCCAGCAGCCGCGGUAAUACGAAGUGCAAGCGUUAAUCGGAAUUGUUGGGCGUAAAGCGUGCGCAGGCGGUUCGGAAAGAAAGAUGAAAUCCCAGAGCUUAACUUUGGAACUGCAUUUUUAACUACCGAGUCUAGAGUGUGUCAGAGGGAGGUGGAAUUCCGCGUGUAGCAGUGAAAUGCGUAGAUAUGCGGAGGAGGAACACCGAUGGCGAAGCGCAGCCUCCUGGGAUAACACUGACGUUUGCGCACGAAAGCGUGGGGAGCAAACAGGAUUGAUACUCCCGUGGUAGUCCACGCCCUAAACGAUGUCAACUAGCUGUUGGGGCCUUGGCCUGGUAGCGCAGCUAACGGUGAAGCCAACGCCUGGAGUACGGUCGCAAGAUUAAAACUCAAAGAUCUGACGGACCGCACAAGCGGUGAUGAUGUGGAUUAAUUCGAUGCAACGCGAAACCUUACCUACCCUUGACAUGUCUGGAAUCCCGAAGAGAUUUGGGAGUGCUCGGCAAGAGAACCGGAACACAGGUGCUGCAUGGCUGUCGUCAGCUCGUGUCGGUGAUGCUGGGUUAAGUCCCGCAACGAGCACAACCCCUUGUCAUUAGUUGCUACGAAAGGCACUCUAAUGAGAUCACGUGGUGACAAACCGGAGGAAGGUGGGGAUGACGUCAAGUCCUCAUGGCCCUUAUGGGUAGGGCUUCACACGUCAUACAAUGGUCGGGACAGAGGGUCGCCAACCCGCGAGGGGGGAGCCAAUCCCAGAAACCCGAUCGUAGUCCGGAUCGCGUCUGCAACCUGGGACUGCGUGAAGUCGGAAUCGCUAGUAAUCGCGGGGAUCAGUAUGUCGCGGUGAAUACGUUCCCGGGUCUUGUACACACCGCCCGUCACACCAUGGGAGUGGGUUUUACCAGAAGUAGUUAGCCUAACCGUAAGGAGGGCGAUUACCACGGUAGGAUUCAUGACUGAAGUAGUUGUAACAAGGUAG
rnacentral:rRNA from 1 species